GAUUUCUGGCUUGACAUUUGCCUGGCCCGCUGGAUCUUGUCCAUGCGUGUGCUGGUAAGUGUACUGCCAUCCUUCUAGUAGUGCUUACAAUGGGUUAAACCAUAGUAAGUGUUAUUAGAUCUUUGACUUUGAACAAAUUAGAGUGUUUCAGGCAGGCAUUUGUUGCUAUGAAUACAUGAGCAUGGAAUCAUCAGUUUUUAAGCUUCGGCUUGAUUCUGGUUGGUUGUGCAAGCUGAAGUCUCAUAGAUGGAUAGGAACAGUUGGGGGUGCUAGUAUUGAGCGGCCAGAGGUGAAAUUCUUGGAUUCGCUCAAGACUAACUACAGCGAAAGCAUU
rnacentral:rRNA from 1 species